rnacentral:rRNA from 1 species
GAGUUUUGAUCAUGGCUCAGGAUGAACGCUAGCUACAGGCUUAACACAUGCAAGUCGAGGGGAAACGACAUCGAAAGCUUGCUUUUGAUGGGCGUCGACCGCGCACGGGUGAAUAACGCGUAUCCAACCUGCCCACCACUUGGGGAUAACCUUGCGAAAGUAAGACUAAUACCCCAAUGAUAUCUCUAGAAGACAUCUGAAAGAGAUUAAAGAUUUAUCGGUGAUGGGAUGGGGAUGCGUCUGAUUAGCUUGUUGGCGGGGUAACGGCCCACCAAGGCAACGAUCAGUAGGGGUUCUGAGACGGAAGGUCCCCCACAUUGGAACUGAGACACGGUACCAACUCCUACGGGAGGCAGCA